CCAGGGUCGUUACAGAUAAUACACACAUACACAAAAGUAUAUUGUACCUUAUCAGGUAGUUCUUUGUCCUAACGUGUAAUACACACGUAUACAACAGUAUAUGUACCCAGUCAGGUAGUUCUGGGUCAUUACGUGUAAAGUACAGAGACUUGGCACAUUACCAGCCAACGGUCGCAUGAAAUUAGAACCCUCUGGACAACCUUACACUUUACCACCACUGCAAUCCUCUCUUUCGGGCCGUUUUUGAUAGGAUGUCUGAUCGUCUGUCCCUGUCGGCCAUCAUGUUGACUAGCAGACGACAGUAAAGAAAGAGUUAUGCCCCUUUGACCAGUAGGUGUUACCUAAAUUUGUACCUGCCAUAAAAGUUCCGGUCUCAAACAAGAACGUGUAUAUGUUUGUGAAAGUUGACAUUCAAGUCACUCUUAAUUUGGCAUGUGAUUAUACUUUAAAAUCAUGCUAGGUACCCGGUAUUGUCCUUCGCAUCUCUGAAUGUGUAAACAUGGCAUAAUUCAAACUUUU